CUACCUACGGGGGGCAGCAGUGGGGGAUAUUGCACAAUGGGGGGAACCCUGAUGCAGCGACGCCGCGUGAACGAAGAAAUAUUUCGGUAUGUAAAGUUCUAUCAGCAGGGAAGAAAAUGACAGUACCUGACCAAGAAGCCCCGGCUAACUACGUGCCAGCAGCCGCGGUAAUACGUAGGGGGCGAGCGUUAUCCGGAAUUACUGGGUGUAAAGGGAGCGUAGACGGUAAUGCAAGUCUGGAGUGAAAGGCGGGGGCCCAACCCCCGGACUGCUCUGGAAACUGUGUAACUGGAGUGCAGGAGAGG
rnacentral:rRNA from 1 species